CUCCCCCGCCCCUGGCCGCUCCUGGCAACAGCAAGUUGAUACCACCACGUCGUUGGAUAAAUUGUCCCGGAAGUCAGCUGGGCGAUCAUAAAGGAGGAAAACCUUGAGUUGCAGAAGUGGAGCAAGGGAAAGCAAAGGAGAAGGUUAACAGCGUGGUGCUUCCUGAGUCAGAUUACAACUGGAGGUCUGGUGUGUUGGGUGUUUCCCAG